rnacentral:lncRNA from 1 species
CUCGCCGUUGGCGGCAGUGUCCCCUCCUCCUCGCGAUGCUCGACCGCCAGCGGACCACCUGGUACUUCGGUUGGGAGGAGGUGCAAGAGGCACGGGCGGUGGUGGAUUACGUGGAUUAGAGAGUGGGGAUUGGGGAUUGGGGAUUAGAGACUGCGGAUUUGUCUGAGACUGAGAGGACUGGGGUUGCGUCGAUCUUAUGGCUCCAGUGGUGGCGGCUGGGAGGAUUAGUCCACUUAGAAAUAUAUUUUAAAAUCAUAAAAGUUUUGAAAUUUUGAUGAAUCAUGGAGUGCUUUUCAAUUUUUGCUCACAAAGUCUAGCCCCGAUGAGAUAGAGUAAAAUACACCACUAGUCCAUGAACUCGGUAAAAAUGAACACUUUAGUCCACGAACUCAGAAAAUGCACACUUAAACCCCUAAACUGGACUACUGUGUCACUUUAGUCCAAAAACAGUUCGGCGAGGCUUAAACACGCCACAUGCCCGCCACAUAUGGAUGUAUCUAGACACAUUUUACUAUGCAGGUUUGUUCAUAUUAGAAAAAAAAAGCGUCAAAUAAGAAGUUCUAACUGUGUCUGAAGUAAAAAAAAAAAUAAGUUUGACCAAGUUUACAGUAACAUCAAAUAAAUAAGAUUUAUAAUAACUAUAGAUUUAUUGAAACUAAUUUUGUAGAUG